CGCACAUUGCGCCCAUUGGUAUUCCGAUGGGCAUGUCUGUUUGAGCGUCAUUACAACACCUCAACUCGAAGCCUUUUCGGUCGAGAGUUGGUGCUGAGCUCGGCUUUGGUGCGCGCGAGCAAACCGGCCGGCUUUAAAAUUUUGAAGCUCUGCAGCCUGCAGCCCUGAAUGAACAUAGUAGAAUAUCUUUUUGACCUGUUCGAUUUUGGUGCGCUGUCAGGCCUGCCUGAACACAAACCCCCCAUAAGGUUUGACCUCAGAUCAGACAAGGAUACCCGCUGAACUUAA
rnacentral:misc_RNA from 1 species